rnacentral:rRNA from 1 species
GACGAACGCUGGCGGCGUGCUUAACACAUGCAAGUCGAGCGGUAAGGCCCUUUCGGGGGUACACGAGCGGCGAACGGGUGAGUAACACGUGGGUGACCUGCCCUCAGCUCUGGGAUAAGCCUGGGAAACUGGGUCUAAUACUGGAUAUGACUCCACGGUGCAUGUCGUGGGGUGGAAAGCCUUGUGCGGCUGAGGAUGGGCCCGCGGCCUAUCAGCUUGUUGGUGGGGUGANGGGCCUACCAAGGCGACGACGGGUAGCCGGCCUGAGAGGGCGACCGGCCACACUGGGACUGAGACACGGCCCAGACUCCUACGGGAGGCAGCAGUGGGGAAUCUUGCGCAAUGGGCGAAAGCCUGACGCAGCGACGCCGCGUGAGGGAUGACGGCCUGG